CUCAAAAAAUGUCAAUCAUAAGUCAAUAGUAUUCUUUAAAAAAAAUAUUCAUCCAAUGAUAAUAAACAUACAUACAAAUGUUAAGCCAAUAGUAAUUUCUAUAAUGUGAACUAGAUUAUAUUUAAAUGAUGAUUUUAUAUACUACCCAAGUUACCUCAACAGAAAACGAUCUUAUUGAAGAAUGGAUCCAUGUCAUGGGAAGAUGCAAGCUUACUCAAAACUCCGAAGAACAAAUUACCAAGGAGUGUUUUGUGCCUUCCUUUAUUAAAAACCCUUAAGGAAGGAUCCAAUUCCACAAUCUAAUAAAUAUUUGAAAUACAAUUAUACAUCUUUUAAUAAGCUGAUAGAUCAUCAAGUUUGACAAGGAAUUAGAAUUUUCUCCUUAAUUUGAUGAUAGAUGAAUCAAAAAUUCCCUUCUUAUUGAUGAACAAAUUAGAAAUAAGCCUGAGAUAUGAAUCAAAAAUUUACCUUUAUUUUGAUGAAAGUUCAAAAUUUUCAUUCUUAUUAAAUAUGUAUAAAGAGUAUACCUUCAU